GAGACUCUGCAAGCUAUGGAACUGAAGCAGCACAAGGACCAGAAGACCUCAUUGGAGAGAGAUGUCGAGAUGGGAUUUAACAAGCAAGAUGAAGUUCAAGACUUUGUGACCCAGAACUUGGACUAUGAUCAUCCUGCGGUGGAAGAGGAAAAGCAACUGCAAAUUACAAGUCCUUGUGAAAAGAGGGAAAUCAUUUGUGGUCUGUUGUCAGUACGGCACCCUCAACCAAAGAAUCUCUCUCAUCAACAAAUGAGAGCCAAUUUACACCCGGUUGAAUCAUCAUCUUUUCUUGAAUCGCGCACAGAUCCAGAGCAGCAUCUUGACCUUUCUACCAUGAAAAGAUCUCCUAAACCAAAAGC
rnacentral:misc_RNA from 1 species